rnacentral:rRNA from 1 species
UGAGGAAUAUUGGGCAAUGCCCGCAAGGGUGACCCAGCAACGCCGCGUGGAGGAUGAAUGUCGUAAGAUUGUAAACUCCUGUUGGAGGGGAAGAAUAGUACCGGUUGGACCGGUAUAUGACUGUACCCUCAGAGAAAGCCCCGGCUAACUACGUGCCAGCAGCCGCGGUAAUACGUAGGGGGCAAGCGUUGUCCGGAUUUACUGGGUGUAAAGGGCGCGCAGGCGGGAUAAAAAGUCAGUGGUGAAAUCCUACAGCUUAACUGUAGAACUGCCUUUGAUACUUUUAUUCUUGAGUUCGGGAGAGAGAGACGGAAUUCCAGGUGUAGUGGUGAAAGACGUAGAUAUCUGGAAGAACACCAGUUGCGAAGGCGGUCUCUUGGUCCGACACUGACGCUGAGGCGCGAAAGCGUGGGGAGCAAAC